AUUUAGAUGAUGAAUCCCAGAAUAGGACGAAAUUUCCAUCCUGGAU
rnacentral:hammerhead_ribozyme from 1 species